CUAUGUGCGGAAGGGAUAAGUGCUGAAAGCAUCUAAGCAUGAAGCCCCCCUCAAGAUGAGAUUUCCCAUAGCGUAAGCUAGUAAGAUCCCUGAAAGAUGAUCAGGUUGAUAGGUUCGAGGUGGAAGCAUGGUGACAUGUGGAGCUGACGAAUACUAAUAGAUCGAGGACUUAACCA
rnacentral:rRNA from 2 species